GAAAUCUUUUAAGCAUAAUAGGAAUUGGGAAAUUUCAACUUCCUCAGCUGGAAGUGGUAUUAAAGAGAGGGAGGGUAAUGUUGGUAGGGCUCCUAAUCAAAUGGGUGCUUCUCUUCUGAAGAUUUAAUCACAAAAAGGAAACAACAGCGAGAGGCUGUUGAUGCUAUUCUUUACUCAUCUCUCAUUUCUUCCAAGAAGUCGGAACCGUCAAUGAAACCUGUGCCAGCCAAGAGGCCUCUUUCUCCUACUUCAAUUGUAAGUAGUGGUAUUAGACCACCCAAGACAAGGAAAGGUCCAUCCAUACCCUCAAAAGGUGCAUUGCAAGACUAGAGCCAUCACCAACAUACACAUUUCUUUUUUAUUUGGAUACAUUGGAACAUUUGGUAAAAAUCUUGAGAUAUGUGGACUAUGAAGUUAAAAUCUGUUCUAAGGUUUUGGCUUGAUGAAAGCUGAAAGAAGAAGAAAAGGUUACUUCUGUUCAGCUUCUUGAUCUCGAAUGAUCAGAGUGCCCAGGAAAUUACAAAUCAGCUUGGCUUUGGUUUUCCCAGUUCACAAUGGCAUAUCCUGCAUAGUAUUAGAAUGCUGGCCUACCAAUCGUGGCACAGAUGAGUUGGGUUUUACCUUUUUUUUUU
rnacentral:misc_RNA from 1 species